GACGAACCGUACAAACGUUAUUCGGAAUUACUGGGCUUAAAGGGUGCGUAGGCUGCGCAGAAAGUUGGGUGUGAAAUCCCUCGGCUCAACCGAGGAAUUGCGCUCAAUACUACUGUGCUCGAGGGAGAUAGAGGUGAGCGGAACUUAGGGUGGAGCGGUGAAAUGCGUUGAUAUCCUAAGGAACACCCGUGGCGAAGGCGGCUCACUGGGUCUUUUCUGACGCUGAGGCACGAAAGCUAGGGGAGCGAACGGG
rnacentral:rRNA from 1 species